GACGAACGCUGGCGGCGUGCUUAACACAUGCAAGUCGAACGGAGUUGAUCCUUCGGGGUUAACUUAGUGGCGAACGGGUGAGUAACGCGUGGGUAACCUACCUCAUAGCGGGGGAUAACUAUUGGAAACGAUAGCUAAUACCGCAUGACAAUAGGGUACACAUGUACCCUAUUUAAAGGGGGCAAAUGCUUCACUAUGAGAUGGACCUGCGUUGUAUUAGCUAGUUGGUAAGGUAACGGCUUACCAAGGCGACGAUACAUAGCCGACCUGAGAGGGUGAUCGGCCACACUGGGACUGAGACACGGCCCAG
rnacentral:rRNA from 1 species